UCUCUUUAAUAAGUAGAAGUUGGAUUCUAUAUAAACCCAUGAAACCAUUGGUAUUAAAUAUAGAAAGUUAGAGUUAAUUUUUACUCUUGAGAAAUAGGGUUUCCCCACUUUGUUUCUCUCAUGCUUUGUGAGUCAAAUUUCGAGUCGUGUUUUGAGAGUACGGAAUAUAAAAAUUUCGCCAGAGUCCGAAGAUUGAAGUGCUUUGACUUUGGAUUAUAGAUUGUUGAAUCCUUGGAGAUGGACUCCUACCGAAUUACAAGCACAAAAGUAUGGUGCGAAAUUCUAUCUUUAGGACAUUGCAUUUAUGCAAGUCUCAAUCUUCAAGUUUGUCAGUUAUUCUAACUUUCUCUCUAGUUGUUUAUAUUAAUCUCAUAUAUAUAUAUUUGAUGUUGUGAAUUUCUUUAUGAUUAUUAUCAUUGGAAUUAUAUUGUUAUUUUUCAUAUUUUCUAAUAUUGCUCCAACAGCUUUAACAUCAAUUUAACCGAUUAAUUACGCUAGACUUAAUUAAACAAACAGGGAUAGAUUGAAUUAAAUAAUUGAGUAAUUGAUUAAGACUAAAAUUAACAAAAAGAGAAAAGACAAUUAAUUAAAAUGAACACACGACACAAGAAGAAAUUGAGAAACAAUGGAAGCCCAAGGUUAUAAAUCCACCGACAACAAUCAUAUUUACUUUUCCUAGAGCCAACUACUAUCUAAUUACCAUGCCAAUGUUAAAUGUUGUUCUUUCUAAGGUAUGAAUUAAUCCGUGGUCAGACAUUAACUCUUGUAUCUCUACAUGAUAAUUAUAUCCUAUUGGUUAGGCAUACAAUUAAACACAUAAAAACUCAUUAAGUAUAGAAGAAUCAUGUCAACCAAGUAUGACUAGCUUGAUAUUGGUCAUCCUCGCUAGUUUGUCUACUCUUCUUAAUCUUAGUUCCAAUAAACCUAAUUGAUUGGUCAUCCUCAUAGAUUUAUCUAACUCUCUAGAUGCAAAAUUCCUAAAGGUGAUCAGUUGAAUUAUCACCAAAAACGUUCUAAGUGCGCAAAUUGGCUGAAACUGAGAAAAGGAAAGUAACAAGGGUCUUUUAUAAUCAAUUCCUUAACAAAACUUGGGGAUAAUUAAUAAUUAAUAUGAUAAAUAAUGCACCUACCAUCCCACAUUGGUGGGGAUAAAGAAAAUCAAUGAGUUUAAAUAAGAUUACCCCACUCUAACUAAUAUCGAGACAUUUUGUGGUAAAAACUCACAUCUGACGGAUUGGGCAGGUGGUAAAGUUGAGGACAAUAUCGGUGUCGUUACCUUUGAGUCUUAAUUGCCGAUGUAUGGAUCUCCACGUGUGAACCAUUGAAUGGGGUUACACUUGAGGAGAAGUGUUAAAGUCCCACAUCAGUGGGGAUAAAAAAAAAACCAAUGGGUUUAAAUAAGAUUAACCCCCUCUAACUAAUAUCAAGGACUUUUGUGGUAAAACCUCAUACCUGACUGAUUGGGCAAUAUCGGUGUCGUUAGAGUGGGGAAACCUCACACCUGAUGGAUUGUGUAAAGUUCGUUAGAGUGGAGAAACCUCACACCUGACUGAUUGGGCAGGUGGUAAAAUUGGGGACAUUAUCGGUGUCGUUAGAGUGUGACCGCCCCCCAGGCCAGUUGAUCUUCAACAUUUUACACCAAGAAACACGUUUCAAACCACCUACAAAAUUUAAGGUACGAGACUAAGCAAGGACAGUACGUGUUUGAAGUACCGGCUGUGGCAAAUAGCAUUGAAGUUACAGCUAUCGUCUUGUCAAAUCAUUUACAAAAAUGCUUUGAAAGAAUCAUAUUUUGAGAGUUGAAAAUGGAAAGACGCAAGGUUGUUGCUAUGCCCAACGCACACAAAGUUUGCAAAAGAAGAUUAUGGAAUAUUUCAAUGUAGAUGACAAUUCUGAACUCCCUAAUACGAUGGGUAAAUCCAGGAGUUUCUGCAGAGCCAUUCACAGGCCAAAUUCACCACAGAGCUGUUGCAAGAAUAUAAUUCAUGGGAUUGCAAGUCCAUCCUAUCCUUGUGGUUUGACCCCAUUUGAAGUGUUCCAAGUCACUCGCCUGGCAAUGCACUUUUAUAUGGUAUCAAGUUCUUCACUACGAACAAAUUUGAGCUGACAUGCUAAAUCAGCAUUACAGGGGAAGAUACACAAAUAUGGACUUCCUGGUGGUAAUGGACACGGCAAAGGCGGUUGUGGGGAACAGUGCAGCCAAAGCUGCUUAGAAUCAGGCAAUCAGGCAUGGCUGUUUUGUUUAGCAAAAUACUCUCUCACCAAUUAAGUUCUCACUGCAAUCAAAACGAAGGAUGUUGUCUUUCUGUUUAUUCAUACAGUCAGGGAUCGGAUAAUCAAAGUACGGAAGAAAAAGAGAGAAGGAUAUACCCACGUUACACCAAAAAAUUUGCGUUUUAGUAGGCAAAACAAAUUAUGUGAUGUGAGCUCCGGGGGUUGGAUGUGUGUGUAGAAGGUGUUUGUAGUCAGCCGAUGACUUUCAUGUGGAAAAACGUAAACUGUGCAGGCGAGAUGGAAGUUGCUCCUCUUAUGGGAUUAUGAUGCGACAGAUAUUAUGAUGUGCACACCAACAGGAUGCGGAAAUCUCUUCCCUUUGUGGUUUGUUUUGUUUUGGGUUGCUAUAUAUUGGGAGGAGGUUAGAUAGCUGCUUGAAAACUUUUGCAACUUGAAUACUCUCUUAGCAGAAUACUCAGGAUCUCAAUUAGAGAUUAUGUCCCUCAAAGUAUCAGUAUUUGAUAAAAUAAAAAAUAAAAAGGUAUCAGUAUUAACAUA